CUACAGGGUGACUUACGUGGGAUCUCGUGCGGUUGAUGGCUUGCGGCUGAGACUGGGAAAUCCGACUUUC